rnacentral:rRNA from 1 species
AAGCAAGAGGACCCGCCGAAUUUAA